rnacentral:rRNA from 1 species
UACGUAGGGGGGCAAGCGUUUGUCCGGAAUCAUUGGGCGUAAAGCGCGCGCAGGCGGUCCCUUAAGUCUGAUGUGAAAGCCCACGGCUCAACCGUGGAGGGUCAUUGGAAACUGGGGGGACUUGAGUACAGAAGAGGAAAGCGGAAUUCCACGUGUAGCGGUGAAAUGCGUAGAGAUGUGGAGGAACACCAGUGGCGAAGGCGGCUUUCUGGUCUGUAACUGACGCUGGAGGCGCGAAAGCGUGGGGAGCAAACAGG